UCCCUGGCCAGCCACGCUCACGGCCUCUGCCCUCCCGGAGCUGAACAUUCUGUGGGGACGAGAGCCAUAAACAUAAAACUGGCCAAUGAAUAGAAUUUGUGAUUGUUUUCAUAGCCAAAUGGGAGAAGAAAAAUACACCAAAGUGGCCAGUCGCCUAUUAGCCCUGAUUUAUAUUCUACUUUAACAUCUCAUCCAAGGAAAUGAAAGGUAUGUGCUCAUCAAAUAUAAUCAUGUAGAGCUUUGAAAGGGGAAGAGAAACGGCUCUGUGACAACUCCCCAGGCCUGCAGAGAACAGCAGGAGACGUGUCACGAUCAAGCCAGCUAGCUCCUCCGGCAGCCACCCCGGGGACAGGCGGCCAGCCGUGGUUUUUCCCUUGUCAGCUAUUCUCCAGGCGGAGGUACGCUGCCACAGUGUGGUCCAUGCAAGGGACAGACACAGAGCAACACCCGGACGGCAGGUACGGAUGCCACAGCAUCGCAGGCCAACCUGGGCCGGGCUUGCGAGGAGCCCUCCGGCAAACCCUUUGAGGAAGGAGGACGCAGAGGAGCUUUCCGGAGUCCAGGCCAGCAUGACAGAUUGAAAGCAGCAGCAGCCAUGAGAAAACCCAGCUGUUGUCUAUUAAGCCAGAUAUUAAAGAGACUUGCAAAAAUAUAAUAUUCACUUUUGUUUUGUUUUGUAAAACAGACUUAUGGUUCAUAAAGAACUAUGUUAUUUACUACUUUACAUAGGACGGGUUAUUGUUAUUUUUUAAACAAAUACAUUUUUAAAGUA